rnacentral:misc_RNA from 1 species
AUGUCUUUUAUAAAUUUUUCAAAUCAACAACAACAACAACAACCAUCGGUUGUGUCCAUAACUUCAACAACAACAACAACCAAUAAUAAUAACAGCAGCAGCAAUUCAUCACGUCGUGGUUCCAUACACAACAACAAUGAUAUGACAAGUAAUAAUAUUUCUUCCGGUGAAUGGACCGCUCGUACUGAAACAUAUAAUUCAUAUAAUGAUCCAUUUGGUGAUCAAAUAAAUCAACAACAACCAAAACAAAAUGAUUUUGAAUCACAACCAUUAAUCGAUCCAUUUGAUCAGAAUCAAAAUCAUACAAGAACUGUUAUUAGAAAAUUAGGUUUAAAAAGAAAUAGCCAAAGUAAUAGUUCAUCGACAACAUUAGAUUCAAAGGUCAAACUUGAUCGUGUCAUUGGUUUGACCGUUUCAAAUAAUGCCUCAUUGGAUUGUGAUUUUUAUUCCGGAACGGUUGUUUAUACAUCUGGCUGUGUAUUGGUUUUAUAUAAUCAACGUAAAAAUAAACAAUUUCAUAUAAUAAAUUCAUUGAAAAAACCAAUAACAUGUUGUAAAUUUUCAAAAGAUGGUAAAUAUAUUGUUACCGGUGAGUGUGGCCAUCAACCACAAUGUAGAAUUUGGGAAAUAUCAACUGGUGAACAAGUUGCUUGUUUAUCUGGCCAUAAAUAUGGUAUCAAUUGUGUGGCAUUUUCACCUGAUGGAAAAUAUGUUGUUUCGAUUGGUUCACAACAUGAUAUGAUGGUUAAUGUUUGGGAUUGGCGUCAAAAUCAUAUUGUUGCAUCAAAUAAAAUUUCAGUGAAAAUAAAAUCAAUAUCAUUUGCUGAAAAUGGUCAAUAUUUUGUUACUGUUGGUAAUCGUCAUGUAAAAUUUUGGUAUCUUGAUUAUCAUAAUGAUACUACCAAUGCCAAUAAUCAAAAUAAACUAAAAAAUAAAUUUGAAUCAUUACCGUUGAUGGGUAGAAAUGCCAUUUUGGGUGAUCAACGUAACAAUUAUUUUUGUGAUGUUGCUUGUGAUCGUCGUGGUAGCAGCGGUGGUAACGGUAGUGAAUCAACAUAUGCCAUAACUAAAUCUGGUCUACUUUGUGAAUUUAAUAAUCGUCGUUUAUUGAAUAAAUGGGUCGAGCUUAGAACUGAAUCUGCCAAUUGUAUAACUCUAAGUCAAAAUUUAAUCUGUGUUGGUUGUUCACAAGGUAUUAUUCGUUGUUUUCGUCCACAAACAUUAGAAUUUGUAACAUCAUUACCACGACCACAUCAAUUGGGUAUUGAUAUUGCGAAAAAUUUUCAAUCAUCAAGAAAUGAAUCGGCCAAAACAAUGUUGAUGAUAAAAUCAAUGCCAAAAUAUCCGGAUACAAUUGCCAUUGUUUUGGAUGAUUUAAAUAAAAUUGUUACAGCUAUUUAUUCGGAUCGUAGUAUAUAUUUUUGGUCAUUCAAUGAUAUGAAAAGAAUUGGAAAAUUAAAUUCAUUUUUGUAUCAUUCUAGUUGUAUAUGGGAUAUUGAUGUAUAUCCAUAUAAUAAUUCGAAAAACAAUCGGCCCUUAUUACCACCAGGUACAUUUCUUACCUGUUCAAGUGAUGAUACAAUACGUUUAUGGAAUAUUGAAUUGGAUAUGAAAUCCACAGUAGCAUCAUCAGCGAAUUAUAUUUAUAAGAAAAAUUUUUUCAGUCCAGAAUUGAUGAAAAUUCUGUAUAUGGAUCCGGAUUUAAUGUAUUUAUGUGAUCAGGAUCUGGUUCCACCACCGUCAACAACAAAAUCGACGACGACAACAACAACAAACUCAACUAAUGGAAAUACCGAUCAAUAUGAUAGUAAAAAUGGAAUACGUGCCAUAAAAUUUUCAAAUGAUGGAAAACAUUUAGCAUCAGGUGAUCGUUGUGGAAAUAUUCGUAUAUUUGAUUUAGAAAUGCAAAAAGAUUUGUUUAAAAUUGAAGCACAUGAUGGUGAAGUUUUGUGUUUGGAAUAUUCAAAUGAACAACAAUGUGGACGAGCAUUGCUAGUAUCAGCAAGUCGUGAUCGUUUCAUACAUAUUUAUGAUGUACAUCGACAAUAUUCAUGUAUACAAAAUAUUGAUGAUCAUUCAUCAUCGAUUACAUCAGUAAAAUUUGUUUGUUGUAAACAACCGAAUUCAUUGAAUUUGAAAUUAAUCAGUUGUGGUGCCGAUAAAUCGUUAAUAUUUCGUCGACAAACAGAUCCGGAUUCGGAUUUUCGUCUGGAACAUCAGGUGGCUGGAAAAUGUACAUUUUUUGAUAUGGCUGUUGAUCAGAAAAAAAAUCAUAUUGUUACUGCAUCACAAGAUCGUUUGAUUCGUACAUAUGAUGUUUGGACGGGUAAAAAUCUAAAUAAUUUUAAAGGAUCACUGAGUGAAGAUGGUGCAUUAAUCAAGAUUGCUUUUGAUCCAAGUAAUACUUUUCUGGCUACAUCAUGUACAGAUAAAAGUAUUUAUAUUUAUGAUUAUCAAUCGGGUGAAUGUUUGGCAACAACAAGUGGUCAUUCCGAAAUAGUAACUGGAUUAAAAUUUUCAUUGGAUGGACGACAUUUGAUUUCUGUAUCAGGUGAUGGUUGUAUAUUUAUAUGGCGUUUGCCAAUCGAAAUGACUAAUGCAAUUGCAUCAAAAUUGGGUUUACCAUUAAUAUCUGAUUCAUGUCAUACAACAAUGUUAACAAAUCGUUCACUGAAUAUUCCUUCUUCAAUUCAUAAUGACCAAGAUGGUAUUCUGAAUCGUUUGGAUGUAUCAACAUUACCGAAAUGGGUACGAAAACAAAUGUUUGAAGAUAGACAACAACAACAAGAUAAAUAUUCACCAUCGAAUUCUGAAACAAAAGAAUUUUCAAAAACAUUACCACGUGGACGUUGGGCACAUCGAUUUAUGGAAGAAAAUGGUAAUGAAAUGAAUCCCGGUCUAGUCAAAGCAUAUGCAACAAAUUUUGAAGCAUUAGCAUCAUCACGUAGUCAACCAACAACACCAUCUGGUAUUGGUUCACCAUCGUUUAAAGAUUCACUGAAUAGACAACAACAACAAAAUAAUAAUCGUCUUAGUAUGAUCAAUAUUACUAGCAGAGAUAAUCCAAGAACAAAAUCAUCAAUGUCAAGCGGGGUUGAUGAAGAUGAUGAUAAUACAACCGAUUCUGAUAAUACAAAUGAUUCAUCAUAUAAAGUAAAUAAAAUUAUAACCAAUGAUCAUCAUUAUCGUGGUUCUUCAAGAUUAUUAUUAGAGAAAAAUCCAAAUGAUCACUAUUCAUCAUCAAUGGUAUCAUCAAUAUCGAUGGCAAAUAUACCAUAUGAUGAUGAUGAUGAUGAUAAUCAAUUAUCAAACGAAAUGAAUAUAAAAAAUCAAUAUAAUUCCCUAUAUAUAAGUCAAGAAAAUUUAGAAAAAAUUGAUCAAAGAAAUCGUUAUUUAAAAAAUGUUUUUGAAAAUUUAGAUAAAAAUAAUAUUAAUAAUGAUAAUAAUUCAGAUGAUUCGGGUAUUAAUCAAAUUGAUAAUCAUAGCAGUCUGAGUAGUAAUAGUACAUUGGUUAAUCAACAGAAUCAGAAUUCAUUAUCACCACCACAGCCAAAUAUACGUCAUAGUCUUUCAUCAAGAUCAUCAACAACAUCGACGAAUAAUAAAAUAAUCGAAUCACCACCAUCGACGACAAAUGAUAGUAAAGAUUGUAAUGAAACAAUAACAGAUGACGCUACAUUAAGUGAUAUUACUGAUAUUAAUCCAGAUCAAAGAUCAUCAUCAUCAUUAUCUCCUGAAGGGUUAACAGCAACCAAUAAUGAAAAUGAUUCAACAAAAUUUCCCAUAUUGGAUACAAUAAAUGAACAACAACAACAACAAUCAUCAUCAUCAUCAACUUUGACUAAUAAGGAAAAUGGCGACGGCGGUAAAAACUUAUCGGAUUCGUCCAAGAUCAAUAAUAAUUCAUCAAGCGUAACGUCAGCAACGGUCGAUACCAUCACCACCAUCAGUAAAGACAAUGCCAAAUCAACACCAACAACGACGUCAGCAACGACACAACAACCAACAUUUAUAUCGAAAAAACGUGAAGAAUUAUCAAAAACAUUAAGCGAAGUUAAACGUAGAUUACAAUCGGUUGGUUCAUCAACAACACCAACAUCAUCAUCAUCAUUGAUGACCAAUUCAAGAUCGGUUAUAAAUCUUCGUCAAUCAACAUUAUUUUCAACAACAGAAUCGGAUAAUCAACAACAACAACAACAGCAACAAUAUUCACAUCGUAAUAUUCGUCAUAGAAAUCGUCGUAUUGAUUUAACUAGUGGUGAUGAUGAUUAUGAUAAUGAUGAUGAUGAUGAUGGUCAAAAUAAUUCCUAUCAUAGUUUAUCUGUCGAUGCAUUUCGUAAAUCAAUUUCAUUAAGUGAUUUAUCACAUCAUUCAUCUUGUACAUUACCAAGAAAAUUGAGUAUAUAUCGUGUCAAUAAUCAACAAACUGCACAAACAUCAAUGAAUAAUUAUCAAUUUGCACCACUUUGGGAUCAACGACGUGUUGGUCAAUCAGCCACAAACGGUACAGGUUCAUUAUCACGAACACCAAGUUCAAAUCAAUUGAAUAAAGUUGAUAUGAUGCGUUCACAAUCAACACUUUGUCGUCAACCUCAACAGCAACAACCUGGAUUAUGGAAUAAUUCUGCUGUUAAUACAAAUCAAUCGCCGGCAUCCGGUACACCGGUUGUUAACCCUUCAGCCGUUCAUCUGAAACCACCACCACCAGCAACAACACCGAAUGGAAUGAUAAAUCCACGUUCUGGUCGUAGUUCAGCACCACCAUCACAAUUUCGUAAAUCAAUUGCAACCGUAUCAUGUGCUAGUUCAUCACGUCGUGGUGAUAGUACUGAAGAUGAUGAAGAAAUGGAAAAUGAUGGUGGUUCAGCAAUCAAUUCUGAUGAUGAUAAUAAUUCAACAUCGGAUGAACGACGAAUUUUACGUCCACCACGUCCAGUUACACCACCAAAACCAAAUAUUUUAAAACAAAUUCGUCGUAGUUCAAAUUCGGCCAAUGUUAAUGGUAAUGGUAAUCCAAUGAUGAUGAUGACUGCUGUAGCAUCACCAAAUCCAUCACCUUAUCUAAAUCAACAACAUCCACAUCAACAUUAUAUUCAAAAUCCACAUCAACCAAUAAUGUCACAUCAUCAUCAUCAUCAUCAACGUCCUCGUCGUUUAUGGUCAACAAUGGAUACAUCAAUGAGAUCAUCCAAAAGUGAAUUUAAUCUGGCAAAUAUUGGUCGUGAUGUACCAUUAUCGUCAUCUCCAUUGUCGUCGACAAUGAUGAGACGACGAAAUCAUAGUGGACAAAUGUGGCCACCACCACCAAGUGUAGUACCAAAUCCAGCAUUAAUCAAUAAUGUUGAUAAUCGUUUAGAUUUAUACAUGACCAAUCCAUCAUCAAUUCCAUUAUCACUUGAUUUAUGUCAACAUUUAGUUAAUGAAAUGAAUUUCCUGACAAAUUAUGCCUCGCGGAUUUAUGAACGUGCAUCAUAUUCAGAUAAUCAAACUACAGUUGUUGAUUAUCUUAAAGAAACAUUAGGACAAGUUAGUCGUGAUAUUCAGGGGAUUGUUGGACGUUCACCAACGAUGAACAACAAACAAGCCAUCAAUGCUAACAAACAACCAGAUAUUGUUAAUAUUCAUAAUGAUAAACAGGGAGCAAAUGGCGCCCAGCAAAACCUUGAUAAUCCCUUAUCGUUAAAUUCAUCAACAACAACAAUAUUUUUCUGGUUGACUUGUGCUGGCUGCUAGAAAUACAAAAAACGAAACAAAGUAAAACUGACUGACGACAGACUGGUUAGCUUUUUCAUUUUUUGCCUUUUUUCGCCUUUUUCAUUUCUCCUCGAUCGACAAUAUUGUUUCGGCGUCACAUUAUUGUUGUGAUUCGAAAUUUUUCAUCAUUAUUUUUCUUCUAACACUGAAUGACUCAUUCGGUGUCUCUUCUGUGUGUUGGUUUCUCUUGUUGCCUUUUUUUUUCCAACUCAUUUCACUCAUCAAAUUUUUUUUUUGAAAAAUUUUAAAAAUUUUUGAAAAAAAUCUCUUUUUUAAAAUCGAUUGAUUGAUUGAUUAUUGGCUUUUUUUUUUGCUGUGCCUGUGUGUGUAUUAUUGGUUUUAAUUUCGAAUAGAAAAUCAUCAUCAUCAUUCUCACGCUCAACGCUCGACUUUUUCAAUUUUUGAUUUUUUCAGUUUUAAGUAAAGUCAUCAUCAUCAAACAAAAAGAUUUUAGAUUCAGAAACGACAAAUCAGUCAUUCAAUCAGUCGAUUUUUUGAUUGUCAUAACUGCUGGCAUAUAAAUAGAAAUAACCAAAGAGUCUCAAGUCAUUCUUUUUCAGCAACGAAAAAAGAUCAAUCAAAAAUCAUUUUUAUUAUACCGUUUUGAAAAGCGAUAAAAAAAGAAAACCAUA